rnacentral:rRNA from 1 species
GACGAACGCUGGCGGCGUGCUUAACACAUGCAAGUCGAACGGAAAGGCCCUGCUUUUGUGGGGUGCUCGAGUGGCGAACGGGUGAGUAACACGUGAGUAACCUGCCCUUGACUUUGGGAUAACUUCAGGAAACUGGGGCUAAUACCGGAUAGGAGCUCCUGCUGCAUGGUGGGGGUCGGAAAGUUUCGGCGGUUGGGGAUGGGCUCGCGGCUUAUCAGCUUGUUGGUGGGGUAGUGGCUUACCAAGGCUUUGACGGGUAGCCGGCCUGAGAGGGUGACCGGCCACAUUGGGACUGAGAUACGGCCCAGACUCCUACGGGAGGCAGCAGUGGGGAAUAUUGCACAAUGGGCGGAAGCCUGAUGCAGCAACGCCGCGUGCGGGAUGACGGCCUUCGGGUUGUAAACCGCUUUCGCCUGUGACGAAGCGUGAGUGACGGUAAUGGGUAAAGAAGCACCGGCUAACUACGUG